rnacentral:rRNA from 1 species
UAGGGAUUGGGAUAACCUGCCGAAAGGUGGGCUAAUACCGGAUACGUCCUAUGUUUUUCGAAACAUAGGGGAAAGAUGGGGACCCUUCGGGGCCUGUCGCCCUUGGAUGGGCUCGCGGCCUAUCAGCUUGUUGGUGAGGUAAUGGCUCACCAAGGCGAAGACGGGUAGCUGGUCUGAGAGGAUGGUCAGCCACACUGGGACUGAGACACUGCCCAGACACCUACGGGUGGCUGCGGUCGAGAAUCUUUCGCAAUGGGGGAAACCCUGACGAAGCGACGCCGCGUGCAGGAUGACGGCCUUCGGGUUGUAAACUGCUGUCAGCUGGGACGAACGGUUUUUGAUGAAUAGUCAAAAACUCUGACGGUACCAGCAGAGGAAGCCACGGCUAACUCUGUGCCAGCAGCCGCGGUAAUACAGAGGUGGCAAGCGUUGUUCGGAUUUAUUGGGCGUAAAGGGUCCGUAGGCGGUUCGGAAAGUCGGGUGUGAAAUCCCACAGCUUAACUGUGGAACUGCAUUCGAAACUCCCGAACUAGAGUACGAGAGGGGUAAAGGGAAUUCCCGGUGUAAGGGUGAAAUCUGCAGAGAUCGGGAGGAACACCAGUCGCGAAGGCGCUUUACUGGCUCGUUACCGACGCUCAGGGACGAAAGCUAGGGUAGCAAACGGGAUUAGAUACCCCGGUAGUCCUAGCCGUAAACGAUGAUCACUAGGUGCUGGGAGGGUUAAACCUUUCGGUGCCGCAGCUAACGCAUUAAGUGAUCCGCCUGGGGAGUAUGGUCGCAAGGCUGAGACUCAAAGGGAUUGACGGGGACCCGCACAAACGGUGGAGCAUGUGGUUUAAUACGACAUACGCGUGGAACCUUACCCAGGCUUGACAUGUACUAGAAAUCCCUAUGAAAGUAGGGACCUUCCUUCGGGAACUGGUACACAGGUGUUGCAUGGCUGUCGUCAGCUCGUGUCGUGAGAUGUUGGGUUAAGUCCCGCAACGAGCGCAACCCCUAUCUUUAGUUGCUAAUCAUUCCGUAAGGGAUGAUGCACUCUAAAGAGACUGCCGCUGAUAAAGCGGAGGAAGGUGGGGAUGACGUCAAGUCAGUACGGCCCUUACGCCUGGGGCUACACACGUGCUACAAUGGCCGGUACAACAGGUUGCGAUACCGCGAGGUGGAGCUAAUCCCUAAAGCCGGUCCCAGUACGGAUUGAAGGCUGCAAUUCGCCUCCAUGAAGCUGGAAUCGUUAGUAACCCCGUAUCAGCCACGACGGGGUGAAUACGUUCCCGGGUCUUGUACACACCGCCCGUCAAGUCACCUGAGUGGGUUGUACCCGAAGUAGGUUGCCUAACCGCAAGGAGGGCGUCUGCGAAGGUAUGAUUCGCAAGGGGGACUAAGUCGAAACAAGGUA